rnacentral:rRNA from 1 species
GACGAACGCUGGCGGCGUGCUUAACACAUGCAAGUCGAACGGUGAAGCGCCUUCCUUUUUGGUGGGUGUGGAUGAGUGGCGAACGGGUGAGUAACACGUGAGUAACCUACCCCCUUCUUCUGGAUAACCGCAUGAAAGUGUGGCUAAUACGGGAUAUUCUGGGUCUGUCGCAUGAUGGGUCUGGGAAAGAUAUUGUUUCGGUGGGGGAUGGGCUCGCGGCCUAUCAGCUUGUUGGUGGGGUGAUGGCCUACCAAGGCGGUGACGGGUAGCCGGCCUGAGAGGGUGGACGGUCACACUGGGACUGAGACACGGCCCAGACUCCUACGGGAGGCAGCAGUGGGGAAUAUUGCACAAUGGGCGCAAGCCUGAUGCAGCGACGCCGCGUGAGGGAUGGAGGCCUUCGGGUUGUGAACCUCUUUCGCCAGUGAAGCAGGCCUGCCUCGUUUGUGGGUGGGUUGACGGUAGCUGGAGAAGAAGCGCCGGCUAACUACGUG